rnacentral:rRNA from 1 species
CGAACCUGGUUGAUCCUGCCAGUAGUCAUAUGCUUGUCUCAAAGAUUAAGCCAUGCAUGUCUUAGUGUAAAUAACUCUUAUGAAACUGCGAAUGGCUCAUUAAAUCAGUUAUCAAAUACGUGAUGGUCGCCUACUACAUGGAUAACCGUAGUAAUUCUAGAGCUAAUACAUGCACAAAAGUCCACGCAAGUGGA